UCUUGCUCUUGUAUGAAAUACUCAAUGGUGUUUCUCCCAUGGGAUGCUUGAUAAGCUUAGGAUUUUGGGCAAAGAUUUUGAGUACUGUUUGAGAGAAAGAAAUGGGAUAAAUAUUUUAUUCAUAGUUAGGUGUAUAUAUAUAUACAAUUCUACAAGGUACAACUAAGGGAAAACAUAACACUAUGUACAACACUAUUGUCAUGACCUAGAUGAAUUAGGAGCAUUUGUAAUUAUUUUUUAUUUAGUUGUUAUUUGUAGUUAUGAAUUAGGAGUAGUUGGGUGUAGUGGAGUAGUGGAAGUGGAAGUGAUAACUACUAGAUAGCUUUAUAUGUAAAAAGCUAUGCCAUAGUUCAAGAGGAUAUCAUAUGAGAAUUAUCAGAUUUCAAGUUUCUCUCUUUCUCUUCAAUUUUCUCUCAGUUUCCCCCCUCAUUUCUCUCUCUCUCUCUCUCCCUUAUUUCCCUUUGUUUCUCCCUUAGUUCUUUCUAUUUCACCAUUUCUAUCGUUAAAGAAAACCUUAGUUAGGACUAGGGUCCUGACAUUUGGUAUCAGAGUAGGUGAUUAUCAGCUGUUGAUUCAGGCGAUUCCUAUUAAAGACGAGCAGAGUGAAUUUUGUAGAAUUUGAAUUGUGCUGAUGGCUGAAGGAACUCUUGAGAGAAUCCAGUCGCUGGAGAAAGUAUUCAAGGAAGAAUUCAAUAAAAAGCUGAAGGACUUAAUGAUUAUGAUUUGAAGAGGUUUCAGAAACUGUUGCUGGAGUCCCUUCCUUGGAUUUGUAACUUAUAGGAAGUUGAGGAACAUUCUGAAUUGGAUGCCAAGAAAGGAAUGACAGUUGCAGGAAAAAUCACUGCAACACCAUUGGAGGAGAUAUCUGUUGAAGACGAACAUUUGGUGUACACCAGCUAGUAGGAAGCAAAAUAUGUUGUGAAGUUGGGAAAGGUUACAAUUACAUUAAAUUUGGAUUUUGAAGAUUUGAAGUCUACUAUUCUUUUAAAAAUAGGUACCCCUCCAAUACCUGAUGCCAAUGCAAAGCUAGUAAUUGAGGAUGUAUUGGAUAGAGCCAGAGAGAAGGAGGAAAAAGAAGUUAAAAUUUGUUCACAACUGGCAAAAGACUUUGUUGAUCUUUUAGGCAUCAUCAAGGAAAUCAUUGUAAAGAACAGUCUAAGAUGGAUGAAUCAAAUAGUGAGAGCAGGGAUUGGAUGAUGAAAUAUUGGUCCAGUUACUAGAUUUCUUGGGGACAAGAAAUCUUUUAAGAGGGAGGAAAUUUCACGACCUAGAUGAAUUAGGAGCAGUUGUAGUUAUUUUUUAUUAAACUUUUAUUUGCAGUUAUGAAUUAGGAGCAUAGUUGUUAAAUCGAGAAUCGAAUUGAAUCGUAAGAUUCAAUACACAUUCUCAAUUUCAACUAUAAAUAAUAUAUAUCCAUAGAAAAUAAAUAAUGUGCCCACCAUGAUCAAUUCUUUUAAAUAUAAAUAGAUAAAUAAACUUCUAAAUAUAUUUGCUAAGUUUAAAAUUAUACCAAAAGGAAAAAGUAUAUUUAUGUUGCCUUUAAAUUCAAAUUGUACCAAACCAAACCACUUUCAAAAUAAUAAGCUAGAAAAAAAAAAAAAAACCUACAACUAUAGGGUUACUAAUAAACUCUAUUGUCCAUAAUCCUCACUAGUUAUCAAUCAUCUUCAUCUUCAAGUUCAAGAGCAUCAUCAUCUUCAUCAUUUUCAUCAUCUUCUUUGUUUUCAAAUAUAGCUAAAUCGAACGAAUAUUUGAUUAAAACGAAUAUUUGAAGUCGCACGAAUUGGAUGAAUCGGAUGAAUCAUGCUAUUCAUGCGAUUCAUGGUCGAUUCGUCCGAUUCAUAAUUGAUUUUAAGGAAUUUUAGAUUCACCCUAUAGAUUCGAUUCAAUUUCUACAUGAAUCGAGUCGAAUCGUACGAUUCGAAUCAUGAAUCGUAAGAUUCUAACAACAGUGAUUAGGAGUAGUUAAGUGUAGUCGAAGUGGUAAUUGCUGGUAAGUUGUAACUAUUCGAUAGCUUUAUAUAUAAAAAGCUAUGCCACAGUUCGGGAGAAUAUCAUAUGAGAAUUAUCAGAUUUCAAGUUUCUCUCUUUCUCUUCAAUUUUCUGUCUAUUCCUCUCUCUGUUUCCCCCUUAUUUCUCUUUGUCUCUCCCUUAAUUCUCUCUAUUUCUCCUCAAUUCUUUUUAUUUCUCCCUCUCUUUCAAUUCUAUUUUUGAGAAAAUAUUAGUUAGGACUAGGGUCCUAACAAUGAUAAAGUUAUAUCCUUCUAAUACUCCACCUUAAGCAGGCGCGUGCAUAUAUAUGUGCCUAGUUUGGUACAAAUGUAGUUGAGCUGUGGAACUCAUAAUGCUUUUGUAAGAAGAUCAACUAAUUGGUCAUUGUGGUCAACAAAUGAGAUACUAAUCUCUCCAAAAAUCAACUUUUGUCCCACAAAGUGACAGUCUAUCUAUAUGUGUUUAGUCUGUUGAUGAAAAAUUGGAUUAAGGGCAAUAUGAAGGAAUUUCUAAUUAACACAAAUAAGCUAUAUAGGCCCUGAAUCUCCAAAUAUGAACUUCUUAAGAAGUUGCUUGAGACAAACCAACUCAUGUGGCUAAAGCCCUGGCCUAAUACUCCACUUUUGUGCUAGAUUUAGCAACAAUGUUUUGCUUUAUACUUUUUCAACACUUCAAUUUACCUCUAACCAAGAUAUAAUAAUUCAAGGUAGAGCGCCUUUAUGUAUGAUAACUAGCCCAAUCUGCACCGAUAUAUCCAACAACCUAUUUGUGCUUGUUGUUCUCAAACAUCAAGCCUCUAACCCUUUUAAUGUACCUCAUAAUACGCACUAAAGCAUGUUAGUGACUAUCACAAAGGGUGCCUAAGAAUUGACUCAUCACACUAACAACAAAAGAGAUGUUUGGUCGUAUCAUAGUGAGGUAAUUAAGCUUCCCAACCAAUCUCCUAUAUAGCCAAGGAUCUUCCAAUGGCUUCCCUUGUCCUAGUGCAAGCUUAACAUUAGGAUCUAUUGGUUGAGAAGCAAGCAUAUCAAUGUCCUCUAAAAUAUCCAAGUAACAUACUUUCGUUGAGAGAUGUACACAUCAUAUACAAACUAAGCUAUGUCAAUACCAUUGAAGUACUUCAAACCUACCCAAAUCCUUGGUUGAGAGUGCAAAUGAGCCUUCAAUUACUCAAUACCAACCUCAUUAUCGCCUAUUAUAACAAUAUCAUCUACAAUCACCACCAUGAAUAUUAUUCCAUCAGUAGAUUGUUAAUAGAAAAUACAAUGAUCAGUUUCUAGUCAUACCAAAAGAUUGGAUGACAAAAUUGAAGCGGCCAAACUAACACUAAGGAGAUUGCUUCAGGCCAUAUAAGGACUUCUUCAGGUGACAUAUCAGUCUAGACUCCCCCUAACAAAUCUAGGUGAUGGCUUCAUAUACACAUCUUCUUGAAGGGUGCUAUGAAGAAAAGCAUUCUUAAUAUUCAACUGGUAAAGAGGUCAUCGUUGAAUAGUUGUCAUAGCAAAAAAGACACAUGUAAAAGCAAUCUUAGCCAUUGGAGAGAAUGUAUCACCAUAAUUCAAUCCAAAAAUCUGAGUAUAACCCUUUGCAACCAAUUGAGCUUUCAGACAAUCAAUGGUGCCAUCUGGACCAACCUUAACAGUAAACACCCACAUACAACCAACAGUAGACUUUCCCAAAGGGAGAGGAACAAGAUCUCAUUAGCUAGCAAGGCAGACAUCUCCUCAUCCAUAGCAUGUCGCCAGCCUAGGUGAGAGCCUCUGCAAAACUAUCUUAGGAAAUACAAAUAGAAGAAAGAGCAGAUACAAAAGUAGGAUAAACAAUCUCUACAUUUGUCUUAGGAAUAUAAAUAGAAGUAAGAGCAAAUACAAAAGCAGAAUAAAUAGCCUUUGCAAUCGUCUUAGGAAUAUAAAUUGAAGGAAGAGCUUAUACAAAAACAAAAUAAACAGGUGACAAACAAUGAUAUCUCACAAAAGUAUAAAUGGGAUAAGGAUUCCAAGAGAAAUAUGUACCUCAGUGAACAAGAGCAUGGGCAGAAUAGAAGGGACACUAAAGAAUGGCACCAUCUAGAGGAAGACAUGGGUCUGAAUGAACAUUGUCAUCUGCAAUAGGUGGUGUUGGAGUUACUAUAGGAGGCGUGGAUGGUUGCUUAGAAUGAUGUUGAUACAUCUAAAAAGGAGCAAAAAUAGUUGGAAUAGGAGUAGGGACUAGGACCAAAGAAGUAAAAGAGGAAGAAGAAGAAUCUGAUUGAGAAGAGAAAAAGGGAGUAGAUUCAAAGACUAUGACAUCAAAAGAGAGAGAGUAUCUAUUAAGAUUAAGCGAGUAACAUUUGUAUCCCUUUUGAAGACAAGAGUAGACCAAAAAACACACAUUUGAGGGGGUAAGGAGAUAAUUUAUCAUGAUUAGGGCAAAGAAGAUGGACAAAAUAAGUCUAUCCGAAGACACAACGGGGGGACAGGAUAGAUGGGAUCAUGAGGGUAAAGUAUGUGGAAUGUCCCCAUUCAAGACAGAUGAUGGUAUACGGUUGAUUAGAGAACUAGAGGUGAGAAUAGCCGCAACCUAGAAGGAAAUAAGAACAUGCAUGUGAUGGAGAAGUGUUCGAAUAGUCUUAAUGAGAUGACUGUUUUUACAUUCUACCACCCCAUUUGUUGUGGAGUAUAAGGGUAAGAGAAUUAAAGAACAAGACCUCGAAAUGAGAGAAAAACUUGAAAUACAGUAGAAUAAUAUUCCUUAGCAUUAUCACUUAAAAGAGUUCGAAUUGAACAACCAAAUUGAGCAGGAAUUUCAUUACAAAAAUAAGUGAAAAAAUAUUGCAAUUCAGUAGGAUCUUUCAUUAAGUCUAAUUACAACAAGAAUGAUCAUCAAUGAAUGUAACAAAAAGGAAAAACCUUGUUUAGACUUAAUUGUACUAGGACCCCAAAUGUUGGAGUGUAUAAGAACAAAAGGAGCAUUAGCUCAUUUAAGACAACUAGAAUAAGAAUGGACAUGUUCACCUAACUGAUAAGACUCGCAUUCUAAAAUAGUCAAUGACGACAAUGAAGGAACCAUUUGUUGGAGAUAAGUGAGGAUGACUAAGCUUGGAAUGAAUUUGGAAAGGGGAUUGUAGCAACACAAGCAAAUGCUAGAGUAUGGUAAGGUAAGAUGGUAAAGUCCCACAAACUCACAUUCAGUGCCAAUGAUCUAUAUUGUACCAUGGCCUUGCACAAGACCAAAAUCAGAAUCAAAGAUGACAGAUGAUUCAAAGAUUAAGUGAGACAAUCAAUAGAAAUGAGACUGUAUGGACAACGAAGAAAUAUGUAAAAUGAAAUUAGGAGAAAUAGAUGGAAGUUGGUCAGUCUUACUUGUGGGAAUGGUUAUACAAUCAUCAGCCAUAGUGAUAGGAGGAAGGGAAGCAAAUGAAUCAAAAUGAGAAAAUAAAUAUUUAUUACCAAAAAUAUGCUCUAAAGCGGCAGAAUCAAGAAUCCGGGGACUAAGUGAGGCAUAUGAGGAUUAGUAAUGGAUGACAAAGUAGAACGAAAAGAUGUUUGGGCAAUAGAAGCUACAAGAGAGGAUGCCUACUGAGGUGCCUACAAUUAAAGAUACUUUGUCAACUCUGCAGUAGAGAUCGCAUACGUUGGAGUUGGUUGUGCAGUAUGAGAAGUAUUAGGUGCCACUAACUGCGCUUCUGCAUCCUUAAGAACUACAACAUUAGCCUUGGGAGGUUGACGAUGGAGUGCAUAACAAGUGUUGUUAUAGUGACCAAGAUGAUGACAAUAAUUACAAUAAGGUCACUUACCACCCCAACGAUGCCCAACACCUCUACCAUGACCACCUCCAAACUCGAUCUUAGAUGAAGAUCCAUGAGUCCACAAGUCAAGUAUAUAGAUCGCUCUUUAACUAAAACAUUAGAAAGUGCUUGUGUGUUAUGAAGGAUCUAGGAAGACAACUCUUCCGUAGUAGGUAUAGCUGGACUGGACUACUCAAAAUUUGAGUACGAACACCCGCCAUAUCAACGCUAAGACCUGCUAGGGCAAGCACUAUAAAAAUUAGUUUCUUUUGCAUAGUAAGAUUGGUUGUAACAGGGAGCAUUGUAUUAAAAUCUGCCACAGCAGAUUGAAUACAAUCCAAGUAUCCACAUCUGAAUCUCCCUUUUUGAAUAUAAAACAAAUUGCUAAUGACAUUGUAUAAGUGCACAAUAUCAUUAGUAUAUAGUUGCUGAGCAUGAGUCCAAAUGUCAAAAACAAGCCUCAUAGGCACAAAAUAAGGGGAUCAAAUCAACAUCUACUAGCUACUAUAACAAUGUAACCAACUGCAUCCAAGAGAUAUAUACAUUUCUAUCAAAUUCAACAAUGUCAGAGUUUCAUGGUCAAAUGGUCACUCACACCAUGUCCUUGAAACCACAUUCGAACAAAGGUUCCCACGAGAUAAUUCUUGCAAACAUUCAAUUUUCCAAUUGUAAUGGUAGGAAUACCAAAAAAAAGAAAAAAGGACGAUA